rnacentral:ncRNA from 2 species
UUAAUAUCUAACAUUACAAGUUUGUGUGAAGAAUAUCCACAUGAUUAAAAGGAAAAUGGGUGUAAAUCCCAUGCUGUCCCGCAGCUGUAAAUGAGGAGUUUUGUUUCAAGUAUUACUGAGUAUGCUUUUAUAAUGUACUUGGGAAGGUGAAGCAAGAUGACGAUUCAUAAGCCAGUAUGCCUGCUUGUAAUAAGAUUCAUUG